AAUAUUUGAAGUGGAGAAUGUGCUUCCACACACCUGGAGACAGGUCAAAAGAAAUGUAGGAAAGGGUACACCUACCUUAUAUU
rnacentral:ncRNA from 12 species